ACUUCUCAACCUAAAAUGUUGCAUUUUUGAAUUUGCCAGGUGCUCGAAGCAGACAAAUGUAACGUGAAAGCUUUGUACAGAAGAGCUCAAGCAAGGCUGGCUUUGAUGGAAUACGAUAAAGCACUGGAAGACAUUAACAAUGCCUCUAUUUUGCUACCAAACGAUAAGAAUAUUCAGGAAGUCCAACGUGAAGCUAAAAAAGUCAAAUUGAUGUACCUGAAAAAUGAAAAAAAAUUCUAUGCUAAAGUAUUCAGUUAAUGUGUUGGUAAUAGUUUCUGUCAAUCGCCAAAACUGAAAUGCUUUGUUUUUUAACCGAAUAUAGAAAAGAGGUACAUAAUAUGUGAUUGAUACAAUAGCAUUCAAACAACAUCUAAAGUUCCAUGUCUAUUUUUCUACAAUAUCAGCGCUUGGAGGGGGGCACCUUUUUGUCUUUUUGGCCGCAGCCUUCAGCCAAGUACACUUGCCAUGAUCCCCUGACCUAAGCUCUAGGGAUUUCAGGGUUCAUUACCAGUUCGUUUGCCACAGUAGGUGCUUUGUAUUGGAUCUCCAUCAAGUAACGGCCAAAUCAAUCAGAAAA